AUGUUAGAGCCUGAAGUCAAGGAAAAGGCUAAACCAGCCCCUGAGAAGAAAGAGGCUGAAGUCAUCAAGGAGAAAGUUAAACCAGCUCCUGUAAAGAAAGAGCCUGAAGUUCCUAAAGAAAAGGCUCCUGAACCAAAACCCAAAAAAGAAGCAGAAGUUAUCAAAGAGAAAGUAAAACCAGCCCCUGAGAAGAAAGAGGCUGAAGUCAUCAAGGAAAAAGUUAAACCAGCUCCUGUAAAGAAAGAGCCUGACGUUCCUAAAGAGAAGGGACCUGAACCAAAACCCAAAAGAGAAGUCAUCAAGGAGAAACCUAAACCAGCACCUGAAAAGAAAGGUAAGAGUUACCGAUAUUGUGGAUUGAUAUGUGCUCAAAUUAAAGUCUAAUCUCAAAUUUACUCAAACUCAAUGAUGAUACUAAAGUUUUCUCAUUCUGUACAUAUUUUCAUUAUUUCAGAGACUGAAGUCAUCAAGGAGAAAGUUAAACCAGCUCCUGUAAAGAAAGGUAUGAAUAUCAGUGAAAUCAUCCUGCAUAUGCGUUUUUUU
rnacentral:lncRNA from 1 species